UUCUAGUGAGAAAGAAAAAACUUUCAUUUGAUGAAACAUGGUUACAAGGUUCACAAGUCCAUAAUAAAAGGCUUUACUAAAUAACUCCAACCCAACCCUGGACACCAAAGACACAUACUCAACCAUCCUGGAGCCCUAGAACUAAAAGGGUCUCGCCUGACCCACUCCAACAUAAUCCUCUCCAACAGCAUCCAUGGCAGGGACCAAGCCGUCAUCAUCAACAUGAGAUGGGGGAAAGAAUCAGGAGAAUGGCAUUGCCGAAAGAAUCAGGAGAUGGCAUCGCAGUACACGGGCGUCAUAGUCUCAUUUAGCCCAGUCGAAGGUGGUGACCAACCGGUACCUACACUUAUGCCAACUGAUAGGGAGAAACCCUAAGAGUAGAAAUUGAUACUGUUGAUUGUUGAUUUGCACCAGAAUCCUCUCCUUGAAACGCAAUAACCACAGAGUACAGACCAUACAUACCCAACUUAUACACACCCAACUUUUGAU
rnacentral:misc_RNA from 1 species